UACGAAGGGGGCUAGCGUUGUUCGGAUUUACUGGGCGUAAAGGGCACGUAGGCGGCUCGUUAAGUCGGGGGUGAAAUCCUGGAGCUCAACUCCAGAACUGCCUUCGAUACUGGCGAUCUUGAGUCCGGAAGAGGUGAGUGGAACUCCUAGUGUAGAGGUGGAAUUCGUAGAUAUUAGGAAGAACACCAGUGGCGAAGGCGGCUCACUGGUCCGGUACUGACGCUGAGGUGCGAAAGCGUGGGGAGCGAACAGG
rnacentral:rRNA from 1 species